AGAGUUUGAUCCGUGGCUCAGAACGAACGCUGGCGGCGUGCCUAACACAUGCAAGUCGUGCGAGAAAGUUCCUUCGGGAGCGAGUAAAGCGGCGCACGGGUGAGUAACACGUAGGUAACCUGCCCCCCAGUCUGGAACAACUAGAGGAAACUCUAGCUAAUGCCGGAUGAGACCACGAUCCCUUCGGGGGGUUGCGGCCAAAGAUGGCCUCUACUUGUAGGCUAUCGCUGAGGGAUGGGCCUGCGGGCCAUUAGCUUGUUGGUGAGGUAACGGCUCACCAAGGCUGUGAUGGCUAGCUGGUCUGAGAGGAUGACCAGCCACACUGGGUCUGAGACACGGCCCAGACUCCUACGGGAGGCAGCAGUGGGGAGUCUUGGACAAUGGGCGAAAGCCUGAUCCAGCCAUGCCGCGUGAAUGAUGAAGGCCCUAGGGUUGUAAAAUUCUUUCGACGGGGAAGAUAAUGACGGUACCCGUAGAAGAAGCUCCGGCUAACUUCGUG
rnacentral:rRNA from 1 species